CAGUCACCGCGGUAAUACGAAGGGUGCAAGCGUUACUCGGAAUUACUGGGCGUAAAGCGUGCGUAGGUGGUGGUUUAAGUCCGUUGUGAAAGCCCUGGGCUCAACCUGGGAAUUGCAGUGGAUACUGGGUCACUAGAGUGUGGUAGAGGAUAGUGGAAUUUCCGGUGUAGCAGUGAAAUGCGUAGAGAUCGGAAGGAACAUCUGUGGCGAAGGCGACUAUCUGGGCCAACACUGACACUGAGGCACGAAAGCGUGGGGAGCAAACAGGAUUAGAUACCCCUGUAGUCCCUGUCUCUUAUAC
rnacentral:rRNA from 1 species